rnacentral:rRNA from 1 species
CGGCGGACGGGUGAGUAAUGCCUAGGAAUCUGCCUGGUAGUGGGGGACGAACGUUUCGAAAGGAACGCUAAUACCGCAUACGUCCUACGGGAGAAAGCAGGGACCUUCGGGCCUUGCGCUAUCAGAUGAGCCUAGGUCGGAUUAGCUAGUUGGUGAGGUAAUGGCUCACCAAGGCGACGAUCCGUAACUGGUCUGAGAGGAUGAUCAGUCACACUGGAACUGAGACACGGUCCAGACUCCUACGGGAGGCAGCAGGU